UUCCUCCGGGUACCAACGCUAUUAAAGCUGCGGUCAGUCUAGCGAGACAGAGAAAAUUCCCUCAGAACUGGCCAGAUCCGUCUACCUUGAGGCUCUGCAACUGCGAGCACAGUGGAAAUUGUUCCUGAUCCCAGGAAGCUGGAGAAGGGGUGGAAGGAUUGAUGGAGCCAGAGAGGUCAAGGACACCACAAGAAAGCUCACAGAAACAACUAACCCAGUCCCACAGGGGCUCACAGAGACUGAACCACCAACCAGAGAGAGUACAUGGGACAGACCAUGGUCCUCUGCAUCUAUGUUAUGGUGGUGUAGUUUGGUCUUCUUGUGGGACCCUUAAUGUGGGAGCAGGGACUGUCUUUGACUCUUUUGUCUGCUUUUGCGACCCUUUCCUCCUGCUGAGUUGCCUUGUCCAACCUUAGUAUGUCUACUGCAACUUGAUAUGUCAAGGGCUGGUGGGUAUCCAUGGGAGGCCUGCCCCUUUCUGAAGAGAAACAGAGGGGAAGUGUAUUGGGAGGGAACAGAGGGGAAGUGGAGGGAAGGGACUGGGAGGAGAGAAGGGAGUCCCUGUGGUCGGGAUGUAAAAAAAAAAUUAAUAUCCCCCUUUUAAGUAAACAUAGUACAUUUGCAACUGGUUAUGAAUUUGGGCAUAUGCCAGCUAUCAACAAAUUCAAAUAAGGUCACAAAAAUUAGCUUAUUGAACCAAAACACAGUUCAGAUUUUAAAAAGAGAAGAAAACGACAUUUUAUUUUUAAAUCCAUGAUUCAAGCUGAGCCUAAUGGACCAAGCCUAUAACCUUACCACUUACAAGGCUGAAGCAGGAGGAUUGGACAUUCGAGGACAACAUGAACUGCACGGGCUACUGUCUCAAAAUAACAACUAAAGCCAAACAAAAUAAAAACCUGAGCCAGACAUAAUGGCACUUGGGAAACAGGCAGAAGGAUCACCAGUUCAAGGCUAGCCUGAGCUCUAUAGCUACACAAUCUCAAACAUCUACCAUACCAACAAAAGCAAAUACUUGUGCUCUGGGUUAUUAGAAUAUGUCUCUAAAUGUUCUGUAUGUUAUAAAGGGAAGCGUAACAGAAUGAAUGCAAGAAAACUUCAAAGAAAAUAUGGUUGGACGAGUCCAGAAAUAAGCUCAAGGCACAGUUUUGGCCCCUAUUUCCUCAGAAUAAAACCCCACAGAUUUCUAGGGAGUUGCUGCAGAUGAAGUUCUGGGUGUCAUUUGUUAAUUGUUAGAGCCCGUGGUUGUCCAUAUAGCUCUGCUCUGACUGUUGAAGAAAGAAGAAAGACAAGGAGGAAUUUGAGGAGGCUGUACUAACACUAUCCUGGAAGUUUUAUGUCAAGUAGAAAUGAUCAAAAAUGUCUAGUGGCAUGUGUGUGACCACCCACAAUCCCCAAGGCAUGGGGAAGAAGGCGUUACAGGACUCAGGUACUUUGGUACCCUCAGUUGUCAAAUACUUUGAAUUUGUUCAGAAUUGCCAUCUUGUUUCUACAGAAUGUACCCACACUUUUUUAAAGUUGUGUGUGUGUGUGUGUGUGUGUGUGUGUCCUGUGUGUGCACCUUUGUCAUGGAAAUGUGUAGAUGGAAGACAAACUCAGUUGUCAGUCUUCCCCUUCUAUAUUCCGACAGUAUGUUGUUUGUGAUAACAUGUGCUGAGCUAAACAGCCUAUUAGUUUUCACUGAUUCUCCUAUGUCUGUUUAGCAUACCACCAGAAGCUUGCUCCAAUUACAGAUACACACUAAUAUGUACUGCCUUAUGUAAUGUGCUGGUUCGUUUUUUUUUUUUUUCAAUUUGACACGAACACAGACAGACAUCACUAGAAAGAAGGAAUCUCAAUGGAGGAAUUUCCUCCACCAGAUUGGCCUGUGAAAAUGUCUCAAGAGGCAUUUUCUUGGUUGCCAAUUGAUGUAGAAGGACCCACCCCACUGUGAACAGAGCCAUUCCUGGGCAGAUGAGCCUGGGCUGUAUGAAAAAAAAAAAAAAAGACUAGGAAGCCAGGGGAAUCGAUCCAGUAAAGCAGCAGUACUUCAUGGGCUCUGGUUCUGUUCCUGCCUCCAGGUUCCUGUCUUGAGUUCCUGCCUUGGUUUCUUUCAAUGAUAAGCUAUAACAAGUAAGUACAAUUCAGCCCUUUCCUCUCCGAGUUGCUUUUGUUCAUAGAAACAGAAGAGCAAACAAUGACACGUGGGUUCUAGGGAUCUGAACUUUACAGCAAGUACUUUUAUCAACUAAGCCAUCUCCCCAAGCUGUACCCACAUCUUCUAUAAUCAAUACCUCCAUGGUUUCCUUAGAGAUGGCGCUUUCCUAAUGCUCAGGAAAAAGAGAGACUAUACAUGGUACCAAUCAAACUGUUCAGGGGCAACCAAUGGACAAACACCGUGACUACUGUGCUAGCCUCUGCAUGGUAUCUGCCUGAACUCAAAAAGACAGUUUGGAAUUUCAGUGUGUGAUAUGUAAACUUUUCAUUUCCAACACUCUCAGAUUCAUUUGUUAUCUCCAGUUUGAGGUUAUAGAGUUGGCCUCAGAGGUCUACUAGGAUAGCUCUGCAUUUCUUCUCCUCUGAGUGAUCUGGUUUCAGAGGAGGAGAAAAGAGUCAGGCACUUUUGUGCUGAGCAUCAUGGCUCUAGCUCCAUUGUGGAGCCUACAUGCUUUCUAAGAAGUUUCCUUGUUGGGAAAGUUUGCACCUCUAUUACAUUUCAACUAUGCCAUAGAGAGUCUGGAGAGGUGUCUCAUGGUUAAGAGAGCUUGCUGUUCUUACAGAGGACCAGAGAUUCCCAGCACUCAUGAUGGGCUCUUCAUAACUACUAAUAACUUCAAAACCCAGAGAUCUGACACCCUCUUUGGCCUUCCACAUUCCUGUAAUUCCAGUGCUGAAGUUGAUGAAUUGCAAUUUUGAGACUAGCCCGGGCUUCAUAUCUCAACCUUAUGUCCAAAAUUGAAAAAGGAAAAAAAAGACUGGAGUAUUCGUUCCUCUUCUAUAAAAGGAUGUUUGCUCUUUGCCAGUCGCUACUAACAAAUUCUGGUCUCUUACAUUCAGAUCAAGCAUAAAAUGGCUGUAUCUUUUGCUGUUUGCUGUCUUUUUUUUUUUAGAUUUCUGUUCCCUCCAUGAGUCUCUGCAGAAGUUUUCUCUUUUGAGUUUUAAUGUCUUUGUUGUGCAAAAUUGUGUGAUAAUCUAAUCUGUUCUUUAUAAAAUCUUUGUAAAUAUUGCUCUGUGCAGACUUUGAUGUUUAAUUUGUAUUACUUUGUUGUGAUGAUAAGAAUUUGAGGAUUGUAAAAUAUUUGAAUCCCUUGUGCCUAUAAGCCUAUGUUAAAAUAUUUAAAGGAUUAAAAGAAGAAUG
rnacentral:lncRNA from 1 species